rnacentral:lncRNA from 1 species
CUCUUCCCUGCAGCGCCUACCCUGCAGCUCCUCAACCCCAGAGGCCUUCUCUCCCCCUGCUCCCAGUACAUUUUCCCACAAAGCCAGGCCAGGAAUUUGCUGGAAAACCUGAAAGUCUUAAGGGGAGUCAGCACUGGUCCUUCAACCACAGCAAAUGAAAUCCUGCCCUAGAGGAAGACAUGCUGGGAAGGACAACCUCUGCGUGGGCUUUGUUUUCUGAGAUGAGGGUGUGCUGCCUGUCACAUUAAGGAGCAACUGUCUGCUUGGUGUUAGUAGACAUUUAACAGCCCUCUCACUCUGGCAAAGUUCAAUUGUCAACAAAGCGCUGGCAUCAGGAUAAGAACCUUCAGCAAGCAACAGUGACUAGCUGUGAUCUAAUGAUAACCUUUCAUUUCAUUUCAUAUUUAGAUUUAUAUUUACCUUCUCUUUCUAUUAAAUGGUGCUAGUUGUCCAUUGGAAGGAGUCAUAUGAAAUUAUCUUCUAAAAUAAAUAUAUUCAAAUAUUUUUAAAUCAGUUUAAAGAAAAAAUUAAAUAAACAUUUACAUAGGCGAUAUGUGAAUGCUGAAAUUUCAGGUAACAAGAAGAAAGAGGAAAGAGGGCUUCAGUGAAAGACCAGCAGCUGAUGUCCCAGACAGAAGCUGGCAUUAACCCCAGAAGAGCUGAGUCUGAAACCAGUACUACACUGACAAGCUGUGGAAGGUGAUGAAUGUCUUGAACAUCUCUGGUUAUUGGCUUCCCCAUCUAUAAGCUGGAUAUGAUUAAAAUAUUGACUUCUUCACAGAUUUGUGCUUAAGAAUCAAAUGAGCUAUUUUAAGGGAAAGCCUUUUACCAAGCAUAAAGUAUGACACCCAUGGAAGAGAUUAUAACUAAGUGAGGGAUAGAGGAGGGAUAAGAGAGCGGAAGCUAAAGAAGUCAUUUAGGUUGAAGGAAAUUGGUAAAAUCAGUGAGAAAGAUAAUCCUGUGGCUGGGUGCGGUGGCUCAUGCCUGUAAUCCUAACACUUUGGGAGGCCAAAGCAGGCAGCUAACUUGAGGCCAGGAGUUCGACACCAGCCUGGCCAACAUGGUGAAACCCCAUCUCUAAUAAAAAUACAAAAAAAUUAGCCAGGCAUGGUGGCGCAUGCCUGUAAUCCCAGCUACUCAGGAGGUUGAGGCAGGAGAAUCGCUUGAACAUGGGGGUGGAGGUUGCAGUGAGCCGAGAUCAUGCCACUGCACUCCAGCCUGGGCAACAGAGCAAAACUCGGUCUCAAA